CUGCUUGGCCACUGAAGCGCGCAUGUAACGGCCAUGCUGCUGGAAGAAUGGGCAGGAACUCCCAACAGGCAGAAAAGAACAAGAGAGAGUGGAGUGUGCUUUGCAAGUACACUGGAGAAGAGAGGAAACCUAAGAUCAGGAUGAAACUGGCAAAGGCAAAGGAGAACAGAUAACGAAUGAGUUUUCCAGGAGAGAAGAAAGAGCAAACAAAAGGAGCUGGCAGAGAUCACUGAGGCCACCCACACAAAAUCCCUCUAUGGCUCUGAAAAGAAAAACAGGUGACUGACAAGAAAAAAUUAAAAUCUUAUUAUAUAUAAGAAAUAGCCAAUCACACCAAAUCACAAAGGUUAACAAGUUUCAUAAGAAAUUGAAAAAAAUUAAAGAAUAAAAUGGUUGCUGUGGGA